rnacentral:rRNA from 1 species
GACGAACGCUGGCGGCGUGCCUAAUACAUGCAAGUUGAGCGCUGAAGGUUGGUACUUGUACCAACUGGAUGAGCAGCGAACGGGUGAGUAACGCGUGGGGAAUCUGCCUUUGAGCGGGGGACAACAUUUGGAAACGAAUGCUAAUACCGCAUAAAAACUUUAAACACAAGUUUUAAGUUUGAAAGAUGCAAUUGCAUCACUCAAAGAUGAUCCCGCGUUGUAUUAGCUAGUUGGUGAGGUAAAGGCUCACCAAGGCGAUGAUACAUAGCCGACCUGAGAGGGUGAUCGGCCACAUUGGGACUGAGACACGGCCCAAACUCCUACGGGAGGCAGCAGUAGGGAAUCUUCGGCAAUGGACGAAAGUCUGACCGAGCAACGCCGCGUGAGUGAAGAAGGGUUUCGGAUCGUAAAACUCUGUUGGUAGAGAAAAACGUUGGUGAGAGUGGAAAGCUCAUCAAGUGACGGUAACUACCCAGAAAGGGACGGCUAACUACGUG